UACGUAGGGGGGCAAGCGUUGUCCGGAUUUAUUGGGCGUAAAGAGCGUGUAGGCGGCCAGACAGGUCAGCUGUGAAAACUCGAGGCUCAACCUCGAGACGUCGGUUGAAACCGUCUGGCUAGAGUCCGGAAGAGGAGAGUGGAAUUCCCCGGUGUAGCGGUGAAAUGCCGCAGAUAUCGGGGAAGAACACCCGUGGCGAAGGCGGCUCUCUGGGACGGUACUGACGCUGAGACGCGAAAGCGUGGGGAGCGAACAGG
rnacentral:rRNA from 1 species